UACGGAGGAUGCGAGCGUUAUCCGGAUUUAUUGGGUUUAAAGGGUGCGUAGGCGGCUUUUUAAGUCAGUGGUGAAAUUUUGCAGCUUAACUGUAACAGUGCCGUUGAUACUGGGGAGCUAGGAUUUGGUUGCUGUGGGUGGAAUGUGUGGUGUAGCGGUGAAAUGCUUAGAGAUCACACAGAAUAUCGAUUGCGAAGGCAGCUCACAAAGCCAAGAUUGACGCUGAGGCACGAAAGUGUGGGGAUCAAACAGGAUUAGA
rnacentral:rRNA from 1 species